rnacentral:rRNA from 1 species
CUGGGAAACUGCCCGAUGGAGGGGGAUAACUACUGGAAACGGUAGCUAAUACCGCAUAACAGUUUAUGCCGCAUGGCAUAAGAGUGAAAGGCGCUUUCGGGUGUCGCUGAUGGAUGGACCCGCGGUGCAUUAGCUAGUUGGUGAGGUAACGGCUCACCAAGGCCACGAUGCAUAGCCGACCUGAGAGGGUGAUCGGCCACACUGGGACUGAGACACGGUCCAG